rnacentral:snRNA from 1 species
AUACCUUUCUCGGCCUUUUGGCUAAGAUCAAGUGUAGUAUCUGUUCUUAUCAGUUUAAUAUCUGAUAUGUGAGCCAUCGGCUCACACGAUAUUAAAUUCAUUUUUUAGGGGGAGGGCCCACUCAGGUAGCUUCCCGCCUGGGCCUUCACGCGUCGCUCAUGCGUUGCACUAUUGCACGGGCCUGGCGCACCCCUC